rnacentral:rRNA from 1 species
GACGAACCGAGCGAACGUUGUUCGGAAUCACUGGGCUUAAAGGGCGCGUAGGCGGGCUGUCAAGUCUGGGGUGAAAUCCCGCGGCUCAACCGUGGAACUGCCUCAGAUACUGACGGCCUCGAGGGAGGUAGGGGCGAGCGGAACUGUGAGUGGAGCGGUGAAAUGCGUUGAUAUUCACAGGAACUCCGGUGGCGAAGGCGGCUCGCUGGACCUCUUCUGACGCUGAGGCGCGAAAGCUAGGGAGCAAACGGG